GAUGAAGAACGUAGCGAAAUGCGAUAAGUAAUGUGAAUUGCAGAAUUCAGUGAAUCAUCGAAUCUUUGAACGCACAUUGCGCCCGGCAGUAAUCUGCCGGGCAUGCCUGUCCGAGCGUCAUUUCACCCCUCGAGCCGCUUUUAGUGGAUCGGUGUUGGGGCACUACGGUAAAACGUAGGCCCUGAAAUGAAGUGGCGGUCCCGCCGCGGUGCCCCCAUGCGUAGUAACGUUUAGUCUCGCAUCGGGUCCCGGCGGAGGCCUGCCGUCAAGCCUAUUUAUUCUCAGAAUAGUUUGACCUCGGAUCAGGUAGGGUUACCCGCUGAACUUAAGCAUAUCAAUAAGCGGACGA
rnacentral:misc_RNA from 1 species